UGACAAACAACCGUUGUGCGCUUCAUGUAAAAUAUUUCGAAUCAAUUCGGUGUCCUUUCGAACACAAAUCCUACCACGAAAUCUCAAACAACCAACGGAGUCACUUAUAAAAUCCAAUUCAUUGCUGGACUCACACUGAAUUCUCUUAGCUUGUAACUCUUUAUCAACUUUCUGAGCAUCACAAAUCUGUUGAAGAUAAGUCGGUCUAGCUCUCAACUUGGCUAGAAUUGGACCAUCAUUGGACCAUGUCAGCCGUG
rnacentral:lncRNA from 1 species